GGAAAUCAACUUCUCCUCUUUCCACGCUUCUACUUCUUAUCAUUCCCUGCAUCGAAUUGCAAAUAUGAGCAACCGAUCCAGUAUCAAAUACCCAAGAAUUAAUAAUUGUAUCAGCGAGAAAUAUGUUGUCUAUAACAUUAACAACAAGCGUACCUGAGGUAGAAGUACUCUUACUUCCGUAAUUCUUCAAGGAAGCUAGGUACUGCUUGCAGUUUCUCUUCCAGUGACCAAGUUCAUGACAGAAAAAGCACUCUUUGUCUGGAGCAGGUCCAGGUCCAGCUUUAACCUUGGGCGCUGGGUUUGGCUUGGA
rnacentral:lncRNA from 1 species